rnacentral:rRNA from 1 species
CCUGGCUCAGGAUGAACGCUGGCGGCGUGCUUAACACAUGCAAGUCGAACGGAAAGGCCUCAGCUUGCUGGGGUACUCGAGUGGCGAACGGGUGAGUAACACGUGGGUGAUCUGCCCUGCACUUUGGGAUAAGCCCGGGAAACUGGGUCUAAUACCGAAUAUGACCACUUCUUGGAUGUUGUGGUGGAAAGCUUUUGCGGUGUGGGAUGAGCCUGCGGCCUAUCAGCUUGUUGGUGGGGUAAUGGCCUACCAAGGCGGCGACGGGUAUCCGGCCUGAGAGGGUGUACGGACACAUUGGGACUGAGAUACGGCCCAGACUCCUACGGGAGGCAGCAGUGGGGAAUAUUGCACAAUGGGCGCAAGCCUGAUGCAGCGACGCCGCGUGGGGGAUGAAGGCCUUCGGGUUGUAAACUCCUUUCGCUAUCGACGAAGC